CACGUAGGAUGCGAGCGUUGUCCGGAAUUAUUGGGCGUAAAGAGCUCGUAGGCGGUGUGUCGCGUCGGCCGUGAAAACCUGCAGCUUAACUGUGGGCUUGCGGUCGAUACGGGCAUCACUGGAGUUCGGCAGGGGAGACUGGAAUUCCUGGUGGUAGCGGUGAAAUGCGCAGAUAUCAAGGAGGAACACCGGUGGCGAAGGCGGUUCUCUGGGCAUGUCCUGACGCUGAGGAGCG
rnacentral:rRNA from 1 species